rnacentral:tRNA from 2 species
GCGCCAGUGGUGUAAUGGCUAGCAUUUCAGCCUUCCAAGCUGGUGAUCCGGGUUCAAUUCCCGGCUGGCGCA